rnacentral:rRNA from 1 species
GUGGGGAAUAUUGCACAAUGGGGGAAACCCUGAUGCAGCGACGCCGCGUGAGUGAAGAAGUAUUUCGGUACGUAAAGCUCUAUCAGCAAGGAAGAAAAUGACGGUACUUGACUAAGAAGCCCCGGCUAACUACGUGCCAGCAGUCGCGGUAAUACGUAGGGGGCAAGCGUUAUCCGGAUUUACUGGGUGUAAAGGGAGCGUAGACGGUAUGGUAAGUCAGAUGUGAAAGCCCGGGGCUCAACCCCGGGACUGCAUUUGAAACUAUCAGACUAGAGUGCAGGAGAGGUAAGUGGAAUUCCUAGUGUAGCGGUGAAAUGCGUAGAUAUUAGGAGGAACACCAGUGGCGAAGGCGGCUUACUGGACUGUAACUGACGUUGAGGCUCGAAAGUGUGGGGAGCAAACAGGAUUAGAAACCCCAGUAGUCC